rnacentral:sRNA from 1 species
GCACUAAGGAAAAAGGAACAUCUUUUGAGCUGAUUUAUCAAAACCAAACGGAGGCCAUGUUGAUUCAUCUGUGCUUCAUAGUUUUGGUUGGAUGCGCAGCUGUAAUGAGCCAAAGUUCAAAUCUAGAGCAAACAAGUGCUACAACUGUUGAUACACUCAAUCAGGCAGCUAAAGAAUUUCAGAAUGAUGAAAGUACUAAACAGUUAAGCAACCAGACAUUCAAUGACACCCAGUCUUCGCAAUAUGGUUACAUCAACGGGACGCUUAUAAGAAAGUCUCGAAGUCUCUGGGGUUUUAUUGCGGCUGCUGCUUCUGUCCUUGAUUUAAUUUUCGGAAAAUAAAAAUCGCUCAAAAAUUCGAUGCUGUAAUGAAUUAAAAGAGUUUACAAAUCAAA